AACAAAUGAGACCAUGUAAAAAUUGAAAAAUCUUCUUUCAUCAUCCGGAAAAUACACGACAAGGCCUUAUGUCGACUGAGCAAAUAUAAUUCAAGAUUACAAACAAGACCACCUGCUACCCAUCACGCAUUAUAAGCUAUAAUGCUACACUGAUUGAUAAGAUCUUUCAAUCUAGAAUGAUAUCGUUUUUUUAUAUAAUGGUAAACUUGAAACUUGUUUUUUGUUUAUUCUUUUCUCUCUAUGCUGUCAGAAAGAUAAGUCGCGUUCAAUCAUCUAUUUGGUCUAGAAUCGGUACUGCAUCAUUUGAUCAUUUUCUUGACGUUAUGAGGCAUAUAGUUGCUAGGUGGACAGUAUCCGUUUCCAUGUUUUUGUGGAAAAGAGCAACGAGUUUUUACCUUUAUCUAGAUAUAUCUCUCCUCGUAAUAUAAUUCAACUCUCGACUUUGAUUCCACGUGCAAUCAAUCUUUAUCUAAUAUCUCUGACUGCAAUACAAUUCAACUCUCGUCUAUGCUUUCGUAUGCAGGUACCUUGUGAGUGUAAAAGUAGUUUCAUCGAACUAUAUUGAGAAACAAUUGUUAGUCUACAUAGGGGAGUUAAGUGAGUAAGAAAAUAUAAUUUUUAGCCAACGUGAAAUUCAUGUUAAAUUUCGAACAGCGAAAAUUGUAAGUUCUAUGCGGGAUCUGUGCUAUGCUAUUCAAAAUUAUAAUAAAUCCUUCCUCGACAUAUGGUCAGUUCAACCUGGACUGUAAGGCUGUCAAUGGGCCGGUUGCACCACCGGUGCGACCCGGCCCGAUAAAAAUCCGCAUAUUUUCGGAUUUCGGCUACACCGCUCUUCUGUUGUCCCGGUUCGCGCCGAAGAAAUCCGUUCGACUUCGUACCUUACCUAACCCCAUCGGGCCGGUUUGCACUGCACCGAAUACGAAAUACCGUUCGGCUUGGUUUCGGAGAAAAAAACAUCGGAUUUUGGGUCGAGAGGAGCGAAUAUUUUUACCUUAAAUAUCCGUAAAUGAAUAAAAAAAAAUCAUUUAAAAAAGGUUUAUGCUUAAUAGUUCGUAUUAAAUAUGUUUGAGUUAGAAAAAAUAAAAAUAAAAAUUUGGCAGGACAUGCUAGGCAUGACUUGACCAUCACAACCAGUAAGCCAUCGCAGUGUGCAUGUACGGACUGUUCCGCGUACCUUUUAACAAACCGUCAAGAACUUAAUGGAAUAAUUAGCGCAAGCUAUUUCUUUCGACGUUUUAACCUUUUGGGGCAGCACAUGAUUGAUCCCUGCAGACCAGUUUGGCAAAUUAUCCGUAGGUAGGGCUAAUUGGCAAUCCAAUAACAAUGGGCCUCUGCAGACGGGACCUUAUAGGCCAGUGUCUCGCUUAUACAACGAAAGGUCAUUCUUCACUCGAAUUAUUUACAUUGCAUUUUUUGUUUUUGUUUUUGUUUUUGUUUUUUUUUUUAUAUCGAGCGCCUUUCGUACGGCACUGAGUACUGGCCAUUUCGAUGACUCGCAAAUAAACGGGACCGGGCGAAAUGGAAUGAAUUGUUGAACGUGAACGUGCGAUCGAGGCAACGUCACCUGCGAGGACGGCCAGCAAUUUGAUCGUGUAUAAAAGAUCAGUUGCCAUGACGACGUGAGCUGCAGCAAAACUUGGUUAUAGGCCGCUGUUGUUGCAGGCUUUUAUACUCGAUUUAUUAUCGAAUAAUAUUCGGACGAUCGAUAUAAUCCACAAUCAACAAAGAUGAUUACAUGUCUCUUCCAUUUAUUCUUAAACAAUCGAACGAAAAGAAUUAAGUCCAUUUGAUGACAUAAAGACCAAAGUUUGCAUUUCAAGAUGGGUUGCAGGACAAGAUGUUGCCAUUAUGACGAUGCCACUAUACAUACAAUGCUAGCCCAUCCAUAGUAAAUCAGCUCAUAGUUGGAACAAGAGAGUGUGUAAGCAUAUUAUCUAAUCCCCUUAACCAUCUCCCCCGUCUAUCGUUGUUAUCGUCUGUGUUACACGAGACAGCGGCUCUUGUUCGCACGACCCAUCCUCCUCCACCACUACUCCCUACCCUGUCCCGGCGUCGUCCACAAAUGAUCUCCUUUAGCAUUAACUAACUAACCAACAGUAUGCAAUAAUGGACGGUAUACACAGUUGCGUACAGAUUAUUCGCCGCUCCGGACCGAUGCAAGUUUAUGCGAUCGGUCAUGUCCAUCAUCGACGUGGUGGCCAUCUUGCCCUAUUACAUUGGUCUGGACAUCUCCACUGAAAACGACGACAUCCCAGGAAUUAAAUUCUAUCGGAUAUAUAUUGGAUUGUGCUCGCUUGUGUCGAGCGUCAUGUUGCCUUUUAAAUAAACUUCUGCUCCUUUCUUCUUCA